UCCAGUCUGGACACUUUUAGCUCUCAUUCUUGUCGUCUCAUUGGAGAGAAGCUUCUGUCCCUAAAUCCUUUUUUUUUUUUUUUUUUUUUUCUUCUUUGGCCUUUUACAGGACUCUCCAGAACGUCCAUUUCUUUCUUGUGCUGGAGGGCCCAGGACUGAACACAUCACUCCAAGUGUAGCCUCACCUGAGGCUGAGGAGAGGGGAAGGAUCAUCUCCCUUGGCCUGCUGGCAACACUUCUAAUGCAUCCCGACAAUUCCCAUUAGCCUUUUUUUGCAGAGCUACGUAUAGAGCCCACACUUUUAACUUUAUUAGUAUAGUUAAGCCAUCAAAACUAUUAUAAUUUGGAGUUCCUAAAAAACACCAGACAGCCUUACUGUCCAGACUCUCCUGGGGUCUCCUCAGCCCUGCCUGUGCACACAGGACCCCGUUUCAGCUCAUCCCAGAACUGUUGUCCCGUAGGAGACAACAAGUUGUUAUUUAGAUUAGCAACUAAUUCUGGCAUACCUCAUAUUAUGGUGUGACUGACCAGUAGACCCCUACAGUGGAAGAAGGCUCAGUGAAAAUGGCCAAUGUGCCCAAAAAAACUCAGGCAAUAAUGCAAGGUGUGAGUGACCAAAGCUGUUUCAAGGAAAGCUGACUUUGUAUCAACAUCUAGGGAACUAGAUGGUGGCCUUUGCUUUAGAUAAACAGUUAUGUCAUUUGAGUGGAGCAGCUAGUGGUGUAAAAGUUUCUUCCUGACUUCAUUAAAAGGCUGUGAAUAUCUCCCUCAGUUAACCAUGCAGUAUGAAGGUAGUAUACUUUGCUCAACCCAACAUAGAGUAUAAAAACUGGACAACUAGCAGAAGAAUUAUGAAGAGAGCAAUGGGUUUGAGCUGUUUUCAACCCACGUAUUCCUUCCUGGUGACUGGGAAUAGCCGGUGUCAUGAUGGCUCAUCAGAGUUAUGGCUCCUGACUUAG
rnacentral:lncRNA from 1 species